CCAAUAGCGUAUAUUAAAGUUGUUGCAGUUAAAAAGCUCGUAGUUGAAUUUCGGGAUUAGUACGCUGGUCGUGCCUUCGGUAUGUACUGGUGUUACUGGUUCCUACCUUCUGACGAACCGUCAUGUCAUUAAUUUGGUGUGGCGGGAAAUCAGGACUGUUACUUUGAAAAAAUUAGAGUGUUUAAAGCAGGCCCGCGCUUGAAUACAUUAGCAUGGAAUAAUGAAAUAGGACGUUCGAUCCUAUUUUGUUGGUUUCUAGGAUUGACGUAAUGAUUAAUAGGGAUAGCUGGGGGCAGUAGUAUUCAAUUGGAAGAGGUGAAAUUCUUGGAGUUAUUGAAGACUAACUACUGCGAAAGCAUUUGCCAAGGAUGUUUUCAUUAAUCAAGAACGAAAGUUAGGGGAUCGAAGACGAUCAGAUACCGUCGUAGUCUUAACCAUAAACUAUGCCGACUAGGGAUCGGAUGAUGUUAUUUUUAAUGACUCAUUCGGCGCCUUACG
rnacentral:misc_RNA from 1 species